rnacentral:misc_RNA from 1 species
CCAAUAGCGUAUAUUAAAGUUGUUGCAGUUAAAAAGCUCGUAGUUGAAUUUCGGGAUUGACGUGAUGGUCAUGCCUUAAGGGGUAUGAACUGUCGCUGUUGAUUUCUCACCUUCUGGAGAAACUUGAUGUCCUUUAUUGGGUGUCUUGCGGAUCCAGGACCUUUACCUUGAAAAAAUUAGAGUGUUUAAAGCAGGCAUUUUUGCUCGAAUACAUUAGCAUGGAAUAAUAGAAUAGGACGGCAUGGUUCUAUUUUGUUGGUUUCUAGGAUCACCGUAAUGAUUAAUAGGGAUAGUUGGGGGCAUUAGUAUUCAAUUGUCAGAGGUGAAAUUCUUGGAUUUAUUGAAGACUAACUACUGCGAAAGCAUUUGCCAAGGAUGUUUUCAUUAAUCAAGAACGAAAGUUAGGGGAUCGAAGACGAUCAGAUACCGUCGUAGUCUUAACCAUAAACUAUGCCGACUAGGAAUCAGACGAUGUUAAUUUUUUAAUGACUCGUUUGGCACCUUAC